rnacentral:ncRNA from 1 species
AGAGGCGCCACGGUGAGAUGAUUGAUCUGAGAAAUACCGGUGAACUUGAUCUGGAUAAUACCAGCGAAAGGAUUUGCUUCUUGAAGACUC